AAACGAGGUCCAGAGUCACCAUUUCGGAUUGAUUUUCUGAUUUGGUGCUAGGAUUUCUCGAAAAUAAAAUUUGGUCGUAUUAUGCAAGUAGGGCUUGCUAUGCGCUCCCCUCCUUCACCUCAUUCCCAUACAAU
rnacentral:snoRNA from 14 species